UUAUCUUUCUCGGCCUUUAAGCGAAGAUCGAGUGCAGUAUUUGUUCUUAAUAUUUGAUACGAGGCUCAUCAAGCCUCAUGAUAAUAAUCUAAUUUAUCUCGAGUACGGGUCCAUACGGCAGCUUGCUGCCCGGACUCGUGAGUGUCGCCGUGGUAUUGCACUACCUCCUUGGCUGGCGCAGCCCUU
rfam:Physcomitrella patens subsp. patens PHYPAscaffold_192 genomic scaffold, whole genome shotgun sequence.